CAACCCUCAAGCCCCCGCUUGGUGUUGGGCCCUGCCCGCGUGGCCGGCCCUAAAGACAGUGGCGGCGCCGUUCGGCCCUAAGCGUAGUACAGCUCUCGCUCUAGGGUCUCGCGGUGGCUGGCCAGAACCCCCAACUCUCGU
rnacentral:misc_RNA from 1 species